rnacentral:rRNA from 1 species
GACGAACGCUGGCGGCGUGCUUAACACAUGCAAGUCGAACGGAAAGGCCCUGCUUUUGUGGGGUGCUCGAGUGGCGAACGGGUGAGUAACACGUGAGUAACCUGCCCUUGACUUUGGGAUAACUUCAGGAAACUGGGGCUAAUACCGGAUAGGAGCUCCUGCUGCAUGGUGGGGGUUGGAAAGUUUCGGCGGUUGGGGAUGAACUCGCGGCUUAUCAGCUUGUUGGUGGGGUAGUGGCUUACCAAGGCUUUGACGGGUAGCCGGCCUGAGAGGGUGACCGGCCACAUUGGGACUGAGAUACGGCCCAGACUCCUACGGGAGGCAGCAGUGGGGAAUAUUGCACAAUGGGCGGAAGCCUGAUGCAGCAACGCCGCGUGCGGGAUGACGGCCUUCGGGUUGUAAACCGCUUUCGCCUGUGACGAAGCGUGAGUGACGGUAGUGGGUAAAGAAGCACCGGCUAACUACGUG